AGAGUAGGCAAGGUGGUCGCUCGUCCUCUCCUGCAAAGCGAGGGGAUGAGAGGAAAGUCCGAGCUCCAGAGGGCAAGGUGGUCCGUAACGCGGACUGGGGGUGACCCCAAGGAAAGUGCCACAGAAAAUAUACCGUCCGCCUCUGGCGUGAUAAGGGUGAAAAGGCGAGGUAAGAGCUCACCGUCCCGGUGGUGACACCGGGAGCCAGGCAAACCCCACCUGGAGCAAAACCAAAUAGGGGGACGUUUGAGGGCGGCCCGUCCGAGGUUCCCGGGUUGGUUGCUAGAGGCGUCAAGCAAUUGACGUCGUAGAGGAAUGACCAUCAUCCACCUCCGGUGGAUAACAGAACUCGGCUUACAGCCUACUCUAACU
rnacentral:RNase_P_RNA from 1 species